ensembl:lncRNA
CUACCUACCAACAGGCAAUUAUAUGCCUGGGAUCCGUGGGGAAUUGGGUUGUGCUUUCCUGCCCGUCCCUUUCCUCUCUUGGAAGCAGCCAUAUUUUGCAGCAUGACCCUGACAGGGAACACUGUAGGAGGUGCAGAGGGGCUGAGCUGAAUUGCUGCUGUGGUGCCACAAAUAAGAACUCUGCAGCUCAGUUGCUGCCUCUGCCCGGUGCUCUGUCACUGCACGUAAUAAAGAGAAUUUUCUUUGGCUCUCAGUAAAUUGUUCACUGAAGCUCUGACUCCUCCUGGAUUUUGUUGACACUGAUGUGUCUAAUCCUUCUGAAGCUGGUUAUACCCCUGUCUGGGAGAAGAAAAGUUACCAGCAUGCCCAUUCCAGCAGGCCACGUGUGGAAGAGAAGGGCAAUGGAGCAGCACUGCAACCUCUUGGGAGCAAACAGAGUGAUGGCAGGGAUCAGGGCUUCCUCAGAAGGAGGACUGGGCAGGCCAUCCUGUGAGGACCUUUCUGCACAUUUCAAGGGGUGGUUAGUGAUGCAUCUUGCCAGCCAGUCCCUGUCCUUGUCCCCGUUCUCGGCACCCUGCUGGCAAUGUCUGAGAGUGAGGGUGAUGUCUGCUGAAGCACGUGAGCCUUCCUGCACUCAGGGAGAGGUGAGAUCUGAGCACACAUCACAUCCAGAAAAACCAGGAAAAAAAGAAACAGACAUGGAGAAAACAGGUGAAGGAACAUGGUUUGACCUUAAGGGUAAAGCAUGAGUGACAUGAAAGGAGGAAGGAAUGACUCACACAGGCAUGAAGAUGGAUGAGUUUGCUGCUGGGAUAAUAUUUCCCAUGCAGCUCUAGCACAGGUGUAGGACAGACCUCCAUGUAUCAGAUCAACUUCAUGGACAGCUGGAAAAACUGAUCCUGAUUUUCAGAAAGGUUCUGGACUCAGUGAGAACAUAAUGAGACCAUGUGGGACUGGCAGAAGGAGCCAGAGGCCAUGUGGGCUGCCAACCGGUUGGAAGCACCAGACUCUGUUUUCUGUUUUCAGGAGCUAUAUCUACUAAAGCCUUCCCUUGUGACCUUGACCUUGGACUAUGUCUGAGCUCUGAGACCCAGGAAGGCUCCAAGAUUUUUAGCUUGUAUAUUGGAUAUGGUCAUGCCUCAUCUCCAUGCCUGGGUAGUCCUUGGUGUGCAGCAACCUCCUUCCAUUUAAGCUCUCAAGCAAAACAUGGUCUCUUACCAGGUCCCACUUCCACAAACUGGAGGACAGAUCUAGCCACAUUGGGCAUUCACAGAUCAUUUUGGUGGCAGCCUAAUGGUGGCUUUUUGGCUUUGGUAAAACAGAAAUUAUAAUUUCCAACUUUGUAUAGGCCAAUGCCUUUCCUUAAUAAUUGAGCAGUAAACACAACCACUUCAUAAUCACAAAGUGCUAAACUUAAUAAUUUUCUGUAAAUACAUAAAUAGGUAAGGGAGUUAUUAAAUCCUACAAUGUUGAAGCCAAGAUAUGGACAGUUACCUCAGCAAAACCCAGACAUAUAUUAGAGUCUAACUUCCUCCAAAAUCUCUUCCACCAGCCUGCCCCAAGAAGGGGUCCAUGAAGUCAAUAGUGCCUUAAGUACUUGGAUCCGUGUGACUACAAGCAGCAGUUUUGUCAUGAACUGUGAAAUAUGGACUGUGAGAAACAAAUUAUGGGCCAAAAUGUAAAGACUCAUCAAUGUUUGUUUUCAACAUUGGUUUUCUGAACUGAGAAAAAUCUCUGAAGUCCCUAGCAGUCCUCCUCUGUAAGGACUGCCUCAUUUUAGCUCCUUGCAUUUCUUUGCAGAAGUAACUUCCACUCCUGAUACACUCUCUCAUCUAUUAAUGAAAAAAGUAAUGCAUCUUUAGGUUGCUGUAGUGACUUGGCCUUAGGCCCUUUAAUUAUAAUAUACCCAAGGCCUUAAUUAAUUUGUAGGACUGUACAGAAGAUGAUGUCCCAAAAACCUUCUGAGAGUUGAGUCAAAAUCCUGUACUUAUCAAAGCAGAAAUAUUGAAUCAGGGCCAGGUGUAAUAUAUUUGCAUCCUUUCCAGAAAAUGAAAUGUUUUUGAGGAGUACAAAGUGUUCUUAGGUGUGUUACAGGUUUAUGUGGUGAUGAUCUGCUCAAAUUUCAAAAUUACCACUUGCAUUAGGCAGUUGCAGUAAGAAAAAGAAAAUUUCAUACUUGGAGGAUAACACAGACCUUUUCUCUUAGGGCCUUUUGCUGAUGCUGUCUAAGUCUAAAAACAUCUGACUUCAGCUGAACACGAUGGCAUAGACUCCUAUUGCAAAGAAACUUCGGUGGCUAUUUGGGGUUUUACCAAUAGAGGGCUCUAUUGGUUUGAUUUAAGUCACCAAGAAGGGGGAGCUAGACUUUUUUUUUUUUUUGGAGAGGAUGGUAAGGUUGCUAUAGAAAAUCCUAUAACCUAUAUAAAAGUGGAGUCAGCUGAAGUGCAUUGAAAGAAAUGCCUAAAGGGACAUCGUUUAGGCGUUGCUCUAUCUGUUUUGUUGUUGGUUUGUUUUGGUAUUUUGGAAUACUGAUGCUGGUGGACUUGCUUAUCUGCUUUCAGAAAGGCACAGUCCAGAGCACUGUGAGGUAUUUUAGGAAUAGGACCAUAUUAGCAGUGUGAUAAUUUUAAAUGACCUGCAAUGUUUAAAGCCUACCAAAAAUAAAAUUUUAUGACCGUAACUCCUUUACCA